rnacentral:rRNA from 1 species
UUGAUUUAAAUAUAAAGUCUAACCUGCCCACUGAAAAAUUUUAAAUGGCUGCAGUAAUUUGACUGUACAAAGGUAGCAUAAUCAUUAGUUUUUUAAUUAAAAGCUUGUAUGAAAGGUUGGACGAGGUAAAAUCUGUCUCUUUUUAAUAUAAUUAGAAUUUAAUUUUUAAGUAAAAAAGCUUAAAUUUUUAUAAAAGACGAGAAGACCCUAUAGAGUUUAAUAAUUAAAAUAAGAUAAUUAAUUUAGAUUUAUUAAUUUUAUUUUAUUUAAAUUAUUUUAUUGGGGUAAUAAAAAGAUUUAGGAAAUUCUUUUUUUUAAAACCAUUAAUUUAUGAUUAUAUGAUCCAUUAAUAAUGAUUAUAAGAUUAAAUUACCUUAGGGAUAACAGCGUAAUUUUUUUAAAGAGUUCUUAUCGAUAAAAAAGUUUGCGACCUCGAUGUUGGAUUAAAGAUUAAUUUAGGUGUAGAAGUUUAAAUAUUUGGUCUGUUCGACCAUUGAAUCUUUACAUGAUCUGAGUUCAAACCGGUGUAAGCCAGGUUGGUUUCUAUCUUUAUUUUUUUUUUAUAUUUUAGUACGAAAGGACCAAAUAUAAAAUAUAUUAAUAUUUAAUUUUUGAAUAUUAUUAAUUUAAUUAUUUUGGCAGAUUAGUGUGAUGAAUUUAGAAUUCAUUUAUGUAAAUAUUUACAAAUAAUACUUGUUUAUAAAAGAUUUAAUUAUUUCUUUUAUUUUUAUAUUUUUAUUAAUUAUUUGUGUCUUAGUAGGGGUAGCUUUUUUAACUUUAUUAGAACG